GGUAUAACAACAAAGAUGGCGGAAGAUUUCAGAACUGCAAGACCAAAAGAAUAUUAUCGAAAAUUUUUGGAACAAGAAGUUCGACCAGAUGGGAGAGAGCUGGGGGAGACACGUACAACAGUCAUCAAUGUCGGAUGUUUGUCCACUGCUAAUGGAUCAGCACUGGUAAAAAUGGGAAAUACAACAGUAAUGUGUGGAAUCAAAGCUGAAUGUGCAAAACCAAAAACAGAAGAACCUGCACAUGGAUUCAUUGUUCCAAAUGUAGAGUUGUCCCCCAUGUGUUCACCACAGUUUCGCCCGGGAAUGCCAGGAGAACAGGCCCGAGUGCUGAGUCAGUUUAUGCUGGAAGUCAUGAAAAACUCAAAUUGCAUUGAUGUCAAGAAAUUGUGUAUUGAACCUGGCAGAUUGGUGUGGACCUUGUAUUGUGACAUAGUGUGCCUGGACUACGGUGGAAAUGUCACAGAUGCCUGUGUUUUGUCAUUGCUGGCAGCCCUCAAUAAUAGUAAGACUCAUGCUUCUGCAUUCAAUGCAGGCAACAGCAUAUUUCUUGAUUUAAUAUUUAUUCAAAAGUUAAAAAUGUGAGUACAAUCCAGCUGGCAAGUACCUAUUCAUGCACAUCCAUGUACUAGAUAUAACUGAUUGCUACAUUGUGAAAUCAGUUACUAGGAUAAAUGGGAAAAUUAUAGUUUUUAAAGUUCUUCUUUAUAAGGUCAUUGUUAAUGUAUAAUAUACUCCUACACCUGAUGAAUUAUCAACCUUUAACCAUGGUGAAAAAGAAACAAUUUUUUGUUAGACAUGAAUUAAAUAUACAGUUGAACUUCGAUAUUUGAAAACUGAUACCUCGAAUACAAUAAAUAUGUCAAAGUGAUUUGUAAGUCCCAACAACUUAUUUUUUAAGUAUUUUACCCUUGAUAUUUCGAAUACUUGGAUAUCUCGAAGUUUUUAAACAGUCCCAUCCAGUUCGAGAUAACGAAGUUUGACUCUAAUAAGUUAAUUGAAUCUUUUCCCCAGCUGUUUUACCAAAUGUGGUAUUGAAUAAAGACACAGACAAAUUUGAAGCUUUUCCUGAUCAGUCCACAACAUUACAGCUGCAGUCUAGUCCAGUGUCUUCCACAUUCGCAAUAUUUGAUGAUGAAAUUUUGUUUGUUGACCCAACAGCUGAGGAAGAAAACCUGGCAACAGGCCAACUUACAAUAGUUACAACAGAUGAUAAACUGUGUAUGGUCCAUAAGCCGGGUGGUACCCCUCUUACAGACCAGCAGCUGUGUUUGUGUAUUAAACAAGCCUUUGAAAGAACAAAAGAAGUUUUAAGACUUAUUGAUGAUACAAUAUCAAGUGUUGAGAGGUAGUUAAAUAAAGUGUGAAUCAUC
rnacentral:misc_RNA from 1 species